UUUUCCUACGGGGCGCAGCAGUGGGGAAUAUUGCACAAUGGGGGAAACCCUGAUGCAGCGACGCCGCGUGAGUGAAGAAGUAUUUCGGUAUGUAAAGCUCUAUCAGCAGGGAAGAAAAUGACGGUACCUGACUAAGAAGCCCCGGCUAACUACGUGCCAGCAGCCGCGGUAAUACGUAGGGGGCAAGCGUUAUCCGGAUUUACUGGGUGUAAAGGGAGCGUAGACGGCGGAACAAGUCAGAAGUGAAAACCCGGG
rnacentral:rRNA from 1 species